rnacentral:rRNA from 1 species
GAUGAACGCUGGCGGCGUGCCUAAUACAUGCAAGUCGAGCGAACAGACGAGGAGCUUGCUCCUCUGACGUUAGCGGCGGACGGGUGAGUAACACGUGGAUAACCUACCUAUAAGACUGGGAUAACUUCGGGAAACCGGAGCUAAUACCGGAUAACAUGUUGAACCGCAUGGUUCAACAGUGAAAGACGGUCUUGCUGUCACUUAUAGAUGGAUCCGCGCCGCAUUAGCUAGUUGGUAAGGUAACGGCUUACCAAGGCAACGAUGCGUAGCCGACCUGAGAGGGUGAUCGGCCACACUGGAACUGAGACACGGUCCAGACUCCUACGGGAGGCAGCAGUAGGGAAUCUUCCGCAAAGGGCGAAAGCCUGACGAAGCAACGCCGCGUGAGUGAAGAAGGUCUUCGGAUCGUAAAACUCUGUUAUUAGGGAAGAACAAAUGUGUAAGUAACUAUGCACGUCUUGACGGUACCUAAUCAGAAAGCCACGGCUAACUACGUG